rnacentral:rRNA from 1 species
GACGAACGCUGGCGGCGUGCUUAACACAUGCAAGUCGAACGCUGAUGGCCCAGCUUGCUGGGUUGGAUGAGUGGCGAACGGGUGAGUAACACGUGAGUAACCUGCCCUCUUCUUUGGGAUAACGGUCGGAAACGGCUGCUAAUACCGGGUAUUCACUGUCCUUCGCAUGGGGGGUGGUGGAAAGGUUUUUUCUGGUGGGGGAUGGGCUCGCGGCCUAUCAGCUUGUUGGUGGGGUGAUGGCUUACCAAGGCUUUGACGGGUAACCGGCCUGAGAGGGUGACCGGUCACAUUGGGACUGAGAUACGGCCCAGACUCCUACGGGAGGCAGCAGUGGGGAAUAUUGCACAAUGGGCGAAAGCCUGAUGCAGCGACGCCGCGUGAGGGAUGGAGGCCUUCGGGUUGUAAACCUCUUUCGCUCAUGGUCAAGCCGCAGCUUUGGGUUGUGGUGAGGGUAGUGGGUAAAGAAGCACCGGCUAACUACGUGCCAGCAGCCGCGGUAAUACGUAGGGUGCGAGCGUUGUCCGGAAUUAUUGGGCGUAAAGGGCUUGUAGGCGGUUUGUCGCGUCUGCCGUGAAAUCCUCUGGCUUAACUGGGGGCGUGCGGUGGGUACGGGCAGGCUUGAGUGCGGUAGGGGAGACUGGAACUCCUGGUGUAGCGGUGGAAUGCGCAGAUAUCAUGAAGAACACCGGUGGCGAAGGCGGGUCUCUGGGCCGUUACUGACGCUGAGGAGCGAAAGCGUGGGGAGCGAACAGG